rnacentral:rRNA from 1 species
GACGAACGCUGGCGGCGUGCUUAACACAUGCAAGUCGAACGGAAAGGCCCUGCUUGCAGGGUACUCGAGUGGCGAACGGGUGAGUAACACGUGGGUGAUCUGCCCUGCACUUCGGGAUAAGCCUGGGAAACUGGGUCUAAUACCGGAUAGGAGCCAUCUUUAGUGUGAUGGUUGGAAAGUUUUUUCGGUGUAGGAUGAGCUCGCGGCCUAUCAGCUUGUUGGUGGGGUAAUGGCCUACCAAGGCGGCGACGGGUAGCCGGCCUGAGAGGGUGGACGGCCACAUUGGGACUGAGAUACGGCCCAGACGCCUACGGGAGGCAGCAGUGGGGAAUAUUGCACAAUGGGCGCAAGCCUGAUGCAGCGACGCCGCGUGGGGGAUGACGGGCUUCGGGUUGUAAACUCCUUUCGCUAGGGACGAAGCUUUUUGUGACGGUACCUAGAUAAGAAGCACCGGCUAACUACGUG